CAGUCGCCGCGGUAAUACGAAGGGUGCAAGCGUUACUCGGAAUUACUGGGCGUAAAGCGUGCGUAGGUGGUGGUUUAAGUCCGUUGUGAAAGCCCUGGGCUCAACCUGGGAAUUGCAGUGGAUACUGGGUCACUAGAGUGUGGUAGAGGAUAGUGGAAUUUCCGGUGUAGCAGUGAAAUGCGUAGAGAUCGGAAGGAACAUCUGUGGCGAAGGCGACUAUCUGGGCCAACACUGACACUGAGGCACGAAAGCGUGGGGAGCAAACAGGAUUAGAUACCCCGGUAGUCCCUGUCUCUUAUAU
rnacentral:rRNA from 1 species